GCAGGAGAUUUUGAAUGAGAUAAAUAUGAAAGUAAAAUAGUACCUUAGAGGUGAAGGCGAUAAUGUUGAGGGUUAUGAGAUAAAAAAUUGAAAGCUCAGCUUGCUAUUAGAGAAGAAUUAUAUGGAAAAUCUGCGAAGGUUGUUGCCAAGGCCGAGAAGAAGAGAGAAUUAUUUCAAGAUUUGGCUCCACUGUUGGUUUCUCUGUUUGUAGCAGAUAGGCAAG